rnacentral:piRNA from 1 species
UGAGGUUGAACACUUUCUACUGCUGC